rnacentral:rRNA from 1 species
CGGUUAAGUUAGAAAGGGCGCACGGUGGAUGCCUUGGCACUAGGAGCCGAUGAAGGACGGGACGAACACCGAUAUGCUUCGGGGAGCUGUAAGCAAGCUUUGAUCCGGAGAUUUCCGAAUGGGGAAACCCACCACUCGUAAUGGAGUGGUAUCCAUAUCUGAAUACAUAGGAUAUGAGAAGGCAGACCCGGGGAACUGAAACAUCUAAGUACCCGGAGGAAGAGAAAGCAAAUGCGAUUCCCUGAGUAGCGGCGAGCGAAACGGGACCAGCCCAAACCAAGAGGCUUGCCUCUUGGGGUUGUAGGACACUCUGUACGGAGUUACAAAGGAACGAGGUAGAUGAAGAGGUCUGGAAAGGCCCGCCAUAGGAGGUAACAGCCCUGUAGUCAAAACUUCGUUCUCUCCUGAGUGGAUCCUGAGUACGGCGGAACACGUGAAAUUCCGUCGGAAUCCGGGAGGACCAUCUCCCAAGGCUAAAUACUCCCUAGUGACCGAUAGUGAACCAGUACCGUGAGGGAAAGGUGAAAAGCACCCCGGAAGGGGAGUGAAAGAGAUCCUGAAACCGUGUGCCUACAAGUAGUCAGAGCCCGUUAACGGGUGAUGGCGUGCCUUUUGUAGAAUGAACCGGCGAGUUACGAUCCCGUGCAAGGUUAAGCAGAAGAUGCGGAGCCGCAGCGAAAGCGAGUCUGAAUAGGGCGAAUUGAGUACGUGGUCGUAGACCCGAAACCAGGUGAUCUACCCAUGUCCAGGGUGAAGUUCAGGUAACACUGAAUGGAGGCCCGAACCCACGCACGUUGAAAAGUGCGGGGAUGAGGUGUGGGUAGGGGUGAAAUGCCAAUCGAACCUGGAGAUAGCUGGUUCUCUCCGAAAUAGCUUUAGGGCUAGCCUCAAGGUAAGAGUCUCGGAGGUAGAGCACUGAUUGGACUAGGGGCCCCUACCGGGUUACCGAAUUCAGUCAAACUCCGAAUGCCGAUGACUUAUCCUUGGGAGUCAGACUGCGAGUGAUAAGAUCCGUAGUCGAAAGGGAAACAGCCCAGACCGCCAGCUAAGGUCCCAAAGUAUACGUUAAGUGGAAAAGGAUGUGGAGUUGCUUAGACAACCAGGAUGUUGGCUUAGAAGCAGCCACCAUUUAAAGAGUGCGUAAUAGCUCACUGGUCGAGUGACUCUGCGCCGAAAAUGUACCGGGGCUAAACGUAUCACCGAAGCUGCGGACUGUUCUUCGAACAGUGGUAGGAGAGCGUUCUAAGGGCUGUGAAGCAAGACCGGAAGGACUUGUGGAGCGCUUAGAAGUGAGAAUGCCGGUAUGAGUAGCGAAAGAGGGGUGAGAAUCCCCUCCACCGAAUGCCUAAGGUUUCCUGAGGAAGGCUCGUCCGCUCAGGGUUAGUCGGGACCUAAGCCGAGGCCGAAAGGCGUAGGCGAUGGAUAACAGGUUGAUAUUCCUGUACCACCUCCUCACCAUUUGAGCAAUGGGGGGACGCAGGAGGAUAGGGUAAGCGCGGUAUUGGAUAUCCGCGUCCAAGCAGUUAGGCUGGGAAAUAGGCAAAUCCGUUUCCCGUGAAGGCUGAGCUGUGAUGGCGAGCAAAUUAUAGUAGCGAAGUUCCUGAUUCCACACUGCCAAGAAAAGCCUCUAGCGAGGUGAGAGGUGCCCGUACCGCAAACCGACACAGGUAGGCGAGGAGAGAAUCCUAAGGUGAUCGAGAGAACUCUCGUUAAGGAACUCGGCAAAAUGACCCCGUAACUUCGGGAGAAGGGGUGCUCUGUUAGGGUGCAAGCCCGAGAGAGCCGCAGUGAAUAGGCCCAGGCGACUGUUUAGCAAAAACACAGGUCUCUGCGAAGCCGUAAGGCGAAGUAUAGGGGCUGACGCCUGCCCGGUGCUGGAAGGUUAAGAGGAGCGCUUAGCGUAAGCGAAGGUGCGAAUUGAAGCCCCAGUAAACGGCGGCCGUAACUAUAACGGUCCUAAGGUAGCGAAAUUCCUUGUCGGGUAAGUUCCGACCCGCACGAAAGGCGCAACGAUCUGGGCACUGUCUCAACGAGAGACUCGGUGAAAUUAUAGUACCUGUGAAGAUGCAGGUUACCCGCGACAGGACGGAAAGACCCCGUGGAGCUUUACUGCAGCCUGAUAUUGAAUGUUGGUACAGCUUGUACAGGAUAGGUAGGAGCCUUGGAAACCGGAGCGCCAGCUUCGGUGGAGGCAUCGGUGGGAUACUACCCUGGCUGUAUUGACCUUCUAACCCGCCGCCCUUAUCGGGCGGGGAGACAGUGUCAGGUGGGCAGUUUGACUGGGGCGGUCGCCUCCUAAAAGGUAACGGAGGCGCCCAAAGGUUCCCUCAGAAUGGUUGGAAAUCAUUCGCAGAGUGUAAAGGCACAAGGGAGCUUGACUGCGAGACCUACAAGUCGAGCAGGGACGAAAGUCGGGCUUAGUGAUCCGGUGGUUCCGCAUGGAAGGGCCAUCGCUCAACGGAUAAAAGCUACCCCGGGGAUAACAGGCUUAUCUCCCCCAAGAGUCCACAUCGACGGGGAGGUUUGGCACCUCGAUGUCGGCUCAUCGCAUCCUGGGGCUGUAGUCGGUCCCAAGGGUUGGGCUGUUCGCCCAUUAAAGCGGUACGCGAGCUGGGUUCAGAACGUCGUGAGACAGUUCGGUCCCUAUCCGUCGCGGGCGCAGGAAAUUUGAGAGGAGCUGUCCUUAGUACGAGAGGACCGGGAUGGACGCACCGCUGGUGUACCAGUUGUUCUGCCAAGGGCAUCGCUGGGUAGCUAUGUGCGGACGGGAUAAGUGCUGAAAGCAUCUAAGCAUGAAGCCCCCCUCAAGAUGAGAUUUCCCAUUCCGCAAGGAAGUAAGAUCCCUGAAAGAUGAUCAGGUUGAUAGGUCUGAGGUGGAAGUGUGGCGACACAUGGAGCUGACAGAUACUAAUCGAUCGAGGACUUAACCAAUUU